CAUGGAUGGCAUGGGUACAGAUGAUACGACUUUAAUACGCAUUAUAGUGUCACGUUCUGAAAUUGAUUUGGGCAACAUUAAAGAGGAGUUCGAACGUAUAUAUAAUCGUACUCUAGUUAGUGCUGUAAAGUCGGAAACUUCUGGUGAUUACAAACGUGCUCUGUGUGCCUUGAUUGGUGGUGCAUAAUUUAAUGCGAUUUUUAAUUCUACGAAUCUCUCUUUGGCAAAAUAAAAAUCUCUAACUUAUUUAUUUUUUAUUUCACAAUUGGUAGUGUGCAGCUUUAAACAAUGAAAUUGCAAAGUAUUAACAAAAUAGUUUCCUUGAUUUUGAUUUGUUUGAUUUUUUUUAAUAAACAAAAGCAAUGUGGUGUCUUGUAAAA